CGUGGUCGGAUUUUGGCUGAGACGGUCGGUCCGCCGUUAGGUGUGCACUGACUGGUCUCAGCUUCCUGGUGGGGAGGUGUGCUUCAUCGCCACUUAGUCACCGUGGUUACUUUGAAAAAAUUAGAGUGUUCAAAGCGGGCUUACGCUUGAAUAUAUUAGCAUGGAAUAACACCAUAGGACUCCUGUCCUAUUUCGUUGGUCUCGGGACGGGAGUAAUGAUUAAGAGGAACAGUUGGGGGCAUUCGUAUUUCAUUAUCAGAGGUGAAAUUCUUGGAUUUAUGAAAGACGAACUUCUGCGAAAGCAUUUGCCAAGGAUGUUUUCAUUGAUCAAGAACGAAAGUUGGGGGCUCGAAGAUGAUUAGAUACCAUCCUAGUCUCNACCAUAAACGAUGCCCACUAGGGGAUUGGCGGAUGUUAAUUGAUGACUUCCCCAGCACCUUAUGAAAAAUCAAAGUUUUUGGGUUCCGGGGGGA
rnacentral:rRNA from 1 species